UACUUGAGGCCCAAUCAAUAUUAUUAAUUAGGUUCUAUUUAUUCUCAAAGUCAAUGUAAUACAAACUAAGGAAAAUCUAAACCUAACAUCGUACUAGAGUCAACCUAUUUUUUUUCUUUGACUCCUCUCUGCCGACUUCUUCUCCUCUGUGCCACUGCCUCACGGUUGCUCCCCCAUUGUUGCCGGUUAUCACGGUUGCGCAGCCAUGACCGACAGAGAUAAGAUUGAGCCUACUUCACCUUUUUACUUAGGAUCCAGAGAUGAACCAGGGAAUUUUAUUACUCACAUAAUCUUGAAGGGAGAUAAUUAUUUAGCUUGGGUUAGAUCCAUUUUAGGAUCCAGAGAUCAACCAGGGAAUUUUAUUACUCACAUAAUCUUGAAGGGAGAUAAUUAUUUAGCUUGGGUUAGAUCCAUUACUUUGUCUCUAAAAGCUCGUAGGAAAUUCCAGUUUGUGGAUGGGACUCUCAAGAAACCUAUUGAGAAGAAAAAGACGAUAGAUUGGGAAAUGGUGAAUUCCAUGCUCGUCUCGUGGAUGUUGAUAAGCAUGGAUCCAAAAGUUGCUGCUUCCAUUCCAUAUCAUGAUGAGGCCCGAUCUCUUUGCAGAAUUGGGUGUGCCUUGAGUCUCGUUUUUGUGUGACAGACAACCCACAGUUUCAACAAUUGCGAGGCGAUAUCACUGCCUGCAAACAACUCAAAUCUAUGUCCAUGAAGGAUUAUUACAGCCAAUUGAUGGGGUUGUUUGACGACCCUGCGCGACUCAAACCCCUUCAUGGUUGCACAUAUGGUAAGUGUUGUUUGUGUGAUGUGACGGGUCGAUUUGUUGUUGACCGUAAGAAAGAGAAGCUCCAUCAAUUCUUUAUUGGAGUUGAUGAUGAUUUAUAUGCUACCGUUCGAUGAAACUUAUUAGCUCAACAACCGUCUGCUAAUUUAAGUCGUGCAUAUCACGCCUUUUUUCAAGAUUAGCGGGUCCGUGGCAUGGCUCGUGAGAAGGUUAUGGUUGAAAACGCUCAUAUCUUCGCGGUUAAAAGUUUCCCUGAUCGUCCUGACAAGUCUGAACUUGUGUGUUCCAAUUGCAAGAAAAAGGGGUCACAAAAUUUCUUCGUGUCUUAAGAUCCAUGGCAGGCUCGCUGGUAUGAGAAGAAAUUUGGGAAGGGUUCGUCUUCCUUGUCGUCGGGUGUUAUUGUUAGGUCGUCUCGAGCCUCUUCUACCGAUGUUGCCCCAUGCCCUGUACCUACUAUGCUGGCGCACGAUUGGCCCCACACCUAGUGUCUCGGACUUCCUCGCUGCUGGUGGUUCCGAAGGGAGCCAUCCCCUCGCUUCUCUAACCCCUGCCCAGGUGCAAGUGCUUUUUAAUUUGGUUAUUGAAUAAUCGUUUGAACACAUGAUGGCUGAGCAUCUUUCUUCCUCUUGGUUACUUGAUACCGGCGCGUGUCAUCACAUCAUCGGUAAUGAUCUUUAUUUGAUUAAUCCUCUUUCUACCUCGACUCGCUCUGUGGGCUUACCUGAUGGGCAGACUGUUAAGCUUGUUGGCGGUUUAAUACUAAAAAAUGUUCCUUUUUGUACCUCAGUUGCAUUACAUUCUAAUUUUGGUGUCGCAAUUAAUUGAUGAUUCUCAUUGUUUUGUCCAUUUCACUGAUUCAUUAUGUGGUAUUUGGGAUCUUUGCUUCGGGAUCCUGAUUCGACCCGGUGAAUGUAAAGAUGGACUUUAUUAUUAUCGUCGCAUUCUGACCGUUUGUGCAGUUAUAAUUUUUGACAUAUGUGAUUUUGAGUUAUGGCAUCGUAGAUUUGGUCAUCCAUCAGAUAAAAUUGUCAAGCUUUUUCCUGCUAUUAGUAAUAGUAGUUCUAGAAAAAUCUUGUCUAAGGCUUGUAUUAUGUGUCCACAAGCUAAAUAAUCUCGUCCUAGUUUUCCCAAUAGUUAUAAUAAUGCAAGUCGGAUGUUUGAAUUGAUUCAUUGUGAUCUUUCGGGCCCUUGUAAGACUUCGUCUUCUUGUGGUGCACAUUAUUUUUUGACUUUAGUGGAUGAUUUUACUCGUGCUACUUGGGUUUAUUUAUUAACGUGCAAAACUGAGGUACAUAAAUCUUUUUGUUCCUUCUUUGUUAUGAUUGAAAGAUAAUUUGAGGUGAUUGCGAAAGUGGUGUGCAGUGACAACGACAUGGAAUUUAACUGCAUGCUUGAUAAUUUUAAUAUCCAUGGGGAUUAUUUUUCAAUCCACUUGUGUUAGCAUCCCUCAACAAAAUAGUUGUGCGGAGAGAAAACAUCAAUAUAUAUUGAAUGUGAGCCUUGCUUUGAUGUUUUAAGCUAAUAUUCCUAUUUCAUUUUGGGGUGAAUGUGUUCUUGGUGCCUUUUAUUUAAUUAAUCGCACUCCUUCUCGAUUAUUGCACAAUAAAACUCCACAUAAAGUCUUGUUUGGUGUUGCUCCUAAUUUUGAUGAGAUCAAAGUGUUUAGCUCUCUUUGAUUUGCUCAUAAUAAAAAAGGAAAAGGGGAUAAAUUUGGUUCCCGUAGUUGUCGUUGUGUAUUUGUUUGGUAUCCUAAUCACAAGAAGGGAUGAAAGUUAUAUGAUAUGGAAAAUAAUGAGAUCUUCGUUUCUCACGAUGUUCAAUUUUGUGAAAAUGAAUUUCCAUUUGCUUGUACCUCUUCUACUGCUCUCUUGGGUCACAAUGAUGGUCAUGGUGUGGAUUUGGAUUUUUUGGAGGAUGUUUUAGGGGCGACUUAACCUAUGAGGGACCAAGACUCUCCAACGCUGGUUGGCGUGCCUGAGUUGUAACUCCAAUCCCGCGCGUCUUGAAGAUUCUGUUUCGGACCUGGGCCUUCGGUCCUCUGAUUUGGGCUUGGCCCUUGCUACCGGACCUAGUAGCGCUUCUACCUCUCUUGCUGCUGAUGAGUUGAGUCGCGGCAACCGGGGUAAAACGCCCUCUGCUCUCUUGCGUGAUUUCAUCACUCCCAUGAUUACAACAACAAGUCCAUCUCCAAGUUCAUUGCCUUCUUACGACUCCUCAGGUCAUGAGCCUCGGAACUUUAAACAAGCCAUGCACCAUGAAGGUUGGCGUGAUGUUAUACAGAACGAAAUUACACAUUAGAACGUAAUGACACUGGGGACAUCUCCCUUCUUCCUCCGGGCAAGAAAGCCCUUGGUUCUAAAUGGAUUUAUAAAAUCAAGUAUCAUGCUUCUGGCAAGGUGGAACGUCUCAAAGAUCGUCUUGUUGUCUUUAAAAAUCAUCAAGUUGAGGAUAUUGACUAUGAUGAGACAUUCGCUCCCGUUGCCAAGAUGGUCACUAUGCGUACCUUCCUCGCUGUAGCUGCUGCGAAAAAUUGGGAAUUACAUCUGAUGGAUGUGCAUAACGCAUUCCUUCAUGGGUAUCUUGACGAGGAAGUAUAUAUGAAGCCUCAUCUUGAUUAGCCUGGUCCUUCUCCAGGUUUAGUUUGUCUUUUAAAGAAGUCUCUCUAUGAUGUUCUCCUGGCUCCUCGUUGUUGGUUCACCAAGUUGGCCGCAUCCUUAAAGCGGUGCCCGUCCCGCUUCUUUUCUAAUGGAACAAAAUCAUACUCUUGCUCUUGCUAAUGGUGCUUUACUUGAGGAUCCUGAAAAGUAUCGCAGGCUUAUUGGUCGUUUAAUUUACCUCUCCUUCACUCAACCUGACCUCGCCUACACCGUGCAUAUUUUGGCCCAAUUUAUGCAAGCCCCGUCCCACGAGUUGAACAUUGGUCCGCCGCUUUACAUACGAUAUACAUUACUUGAAAGGGAGUUUCGGGCAAGGUCACUCUCCUAUCUCUUGGAAAAUGAAAAAAAAAACACAUUGUUUCUCAUUCUUCCGCUGAAGCUGAGUAUCGCUCCAUGGCUACGAUCAUUGCUGAAUUGAAUUGGCUCAAGGCUCUCCUUCAGUGGUAUUCCCCAUCCUCGGGCUAUGACUCUUUUUUGUGACAGUCAAUCGAUGCUUUAUGUUGCUCAAAACUCGAUUUUCAAUUAGUGCAAGAAACACAUUGAGGUUGAUUGUUACUACGUUCGGGAUGCUAUCCAAGCUGGUACUCUUGCUACUUAUCAUGUGUCCACUGCCGAACAACUCAUCGAUAUUUUCACUAAACUACUCGGAAAAUGUCAAUUUCUUUACCUUCUAGGCAAGUUGGGGAUUUGUGAUCCCCAUACUCCA